CCUACGGGUGGCAGCAGUGAGGAAUAUUGGUCAAUGGGAGAGAUCCUGAACCAGCCAAGCCGCGUGAGGGAAGACGGCCCUAUGGGUUGUAAACCUCUUUUGUCGGAGAACAAAACCCGGGACGUGUCCCGGACUGCGUGUAUCCGAAGAAAAAGCAUCGGCAAACUCCGUGCCAGCAGCCGCGGUAAUACGGAGGGUGCGAGCGUUAUCCGGAUUUAUUGGGUUUAAAGGGUGCGUAGGCGGUCCGUUAAGUCAGCGGUAAAAUCGCGGGGCUAAACCCCGUCGAGCCGGUGAAACUGGCAGGCUUGAGUUGGCGAGAAGUACGCGGAAUGCGCAGUGUAGCGGUGAAAUGCGUAGAUAUCGGGAAGAACUCCGAUUGCGAAGGCAGCGUGCCGGCGCGAGACUGACGCUGAGGCUCGAAAGCGUGGGGAUCGAACAGGAUUAGAUACCCCAGUAGUC
rnacentral:rRNA from 1 species